UACGUAGGGUGCGAGCGUUGUCCGGAAUUAUUGGGCGUAAAGAGCUCGUAGGCGGUCUGUCGCGUCGGCUGUGAAAACUCGGGGCUCAACUCCGAGCUUGCAGUCGAUACGGGCAGGCUAGAGUUCGGCAGGGGGAGACUGGAAUUCCUGGUGUAGCGGUGAAAUGCGCAGAUAUCAGGAGGAACACCGGUGGCGAAGGCGGGUCUCUGGACCGAUACUGACGCUGAGGAGCGAAAGCGUGGGGAGCGAACAGG
rnacentral:rRNA from 1 species